rnacentral:rRNA from 1 species
UACAGAGACUGCAAGCGUUAUUCGGAUUCACUGGGCGUAAAGGGUGCGCAGGCGGUUGGGUGUGUCAGAUGUGAAAUCCCGAGGCUCAACCUCGGAACUGCGUCUGAAACUACUCGACUAGAGUACUGGAGAGGGUAGCGGAAUUCACGGUGUAGCAGUGAAAUGCGUAGAUAUCGUGAGGAACACCAGAGGCGAAGGCGAGUUCCUGGACAGUGACUGACGCUGAGGCACGAAGGCCAGGGGAGCAAACGGG